GUCUUUUUGAGUCAGCUCAGUUGGUUGGAGCAUAGUUGGUUAGAGCGUAGUGCGUUAACCUGUUUCCCCAAAGGCAACAGGUAAGGUUGUGGGUUCGAUCCCCAUCUGGGACA